AUGGCACCGCCGCGGCGCGUGUGCGUGACCGGCGGCGGCGGGUUCAUCGCCUCGUGGCUCGCCAAGCUGCUCCUCUCCCGCGGCUACGCCGUCCACGCCACCCUCCGGGACCCAUGUGACCCCAAGAAUGUCCACCUCAAGCAGAUGGACGAGGCCCGGGAGAAUCUGCACCUGCUCAAGGCCGACGUGCUCGACUACGACGCGCUAACACGUGCGUUUGAGGGAUGUGAGGGGGUCUUCCACCUCGCCACUCCGGUGCCUGAAGAUAAGAUUGCUGAUCCUGAGUCAGAAGUAUUGGCUCCUGCUGUGAAAGGUACUUCAAAUGUGCUGAAGGCCUGCUCAGCUAUGAAGGUUCAGAAGGUUAUUGUCUUGUCAUCCAAUGCUGCUGUUGAUUUUAACCCGAAUUGGCCUCAAGACAGACUCAAAGAUGAGAGUAGCUGGUCAGACAAAGAUUUCUGCCAGGAGAAUGAGGACUGGUAUUCUGUUGCCAAGAUUGUGGCCGAACAGGCAUCCUUGGAAUAUUCAGAGAAACAUGGAUUAAAUGUUGUUACGCUUUGCCCUCCUUUGGUUUUUGGCCCAUUGUUGCAGCCUACUGUGAAUACCAGUAGCAAAUUCUUAAUCUAUGUUAUUAAUGGAGGACCUGACGUGAUGAGCAACAAGCUGUGGCACAUUGUAGACGUCCGUGAUGUCGCGGAUGCCUUGCUGCUUGUGUACGAGAAGGCCGAAUCGUCUGGGAGAUACAUUUGCGCGCCGAAUAGCGUCUGCACAAAGGACUUGGUGGACUUGCUGAGGAAGAUGUACCCACAGUACAGCUAUGUGAACAACAUCGACGCGGACCGUAAAGCGCCGCUGUCAUCGCAGAAGCUGAAGGAUCUGGGCUGGAAGCCGAGGAAGCUGGAGGAGACGCUCUCGGACAGCGUGGGCUGCUACGAGAAGGCCGGCCUUCUGCAGGGUUCCGCUGCGCGUCAUUGCCGGCUUCCGCAUCUGUUCCGUCUGGCUGGUGAUCAGUGA
rnacentral:rRNA from 1 species